rnacentral:rRNA from 1 species
UUGAACGCUGGCGGCAGGCCUAACACAUGCAAGUCGAGCGGUAGCACAGAGAGCUUGCUCUCGGGUGACGAGCGGCGGACGGGUGAGUAAUGUCUGGGAAACUGCCUGAUGGAGGGGGAUAACUACUGGAAACGGUAGCUAAUACCGCAUAAUGUCGCAAGACCAAAGUGGGGGACCUUCGGGCCUCAUGCCAUCAGAUGUGCCCAGAUGGGAUUAGCUAGUAGGUGGGGUAACGGCUCACCUAGGCGACGAUCCCUAGCUGGUCUGAGAGGAUGACCAGCCACACUGGAACUGAGACACGGUCCAGACUCCUACGGGAGGCAGCAGUGGGGAAUAUUGCACAAUGGGCGCAAGCCUGAUGCAGCCAUGCCGCGUGUGUGAAGAAGGCCUUCGGGUUGUAAAGCACUUUCAGCGGGGAGGAAGGCGUUAAGGUUAAUAACCUUGGCGAUUGACGUUACCCGCAGAAGAAGCACCGGCUAACUCCGUGCCAGCAGCCGCGGUAAUACGGAGGGUGCAAGCGUUAAUCGGAAUUACUGGGCGUAAAGCGCACGCAGGCGGUCUGUCAAGUCGGAUGUGAAAUCCCCGGGCUCAACCUGGGAACUGCAUUCGAAACUGGCAGGCUAGAGUCUUGUAGAGGGGGGUAGAAUUCCAGGUGUAGCGGUGAAAUGCGUAGAGAUCUGGAGGAAUACCGGUGGCGAAGGCGGCCCCCUGGACAAAGACUGACGCUCAGGUGCGAAAGCGUGGGGAGCAAACAGGAUUAGAUACCCUGGUAGUCCACGCCGUAAACGAUGUCGAUUUGGAGGUUGUGCCCUUGAGGCGUGGCUUCCGGAGCUAACGCGUUAAAUCGACCGCCUGGGGAGUACGGCCGCAAGGUUAAAACUCAAAUGAAUUGACGGGGGCCCGCACAAGCGGUGGAGCAUGUGGUUUAAUUCGAUGCAACGCGAAGAACCUUACCUGGUCUUGACAUCCACAGAACUUUCCAGAGAUGGAUUGGUGCCUUCGGGAACUGUGAGACAGGUGCUGCAUGGCUGUCGUCAGCUCGUGUUGUGAAAUGUUGGGUUAAGUCCCGCAACGAGCGCAACCCUUAUCCUUUGUUGCCAGUGGUUCGGCCGGGAACUCAAAGGAGACUGCCAGUGAUAAACUGGAGGAAGGUGGGGAUGACGUCAAGUCAUCAUGGCCCUUACGACCAGGGCUACACACGUGCUACAAUGGCAUAUACAAAGAGAAGCGACCUCGCGAGAGCAAGCGGACCUCAUAAAGUAUGUCGUAGUCCGGAUUGGAGUCUGCAACUCGACUCCAUGAAGUCGGAAUCGCUAGUAAUCGUAGAUCAGAAUGCUACGGUGAAUACGUUCCCGGGCCUUGUACACACCGCCCGUCACACCAUGGGAGUGGGUUGCAAAAGAAGUAGGUAGCUUAACCUUCGGGAGGGCGCUUACCACUUUGUGAUUCAUGACUGGGGUG